rnacentral:tRNA from 1 species
GGAGAGAUGGAUGAGCGGUUUAAGUCGCACGCCUGGAAAGCGUGUAUAGGUUCAUAGCCUAUCCGGGGUUCGAAUCCCCGUCUCUCCGCCA